rnacentral:rRNA from 1 species
AUUGAACGCUGGCGGCACGCUUAACACAUGCAAGUCGAACGGCAGCAUGAUUAGUAGCAAUACUAGUUGAUGGCGAGUGGCGGACGGGUGAGUAAUGCGUAGGGAACUGUCUUUAAGUGGGGGAUAACCUAGGGAAACUUGGGCUAAUACCGCAUAGACUCUGAGGAGUAAAGUUGGCCUGCAAGGGCUGAUGCUUGAAGGUGUACCUACGUCGGAUUAGCUAGUUGGUUAGGUAAAGGCUGACCAAGGCGAUGAUCUGUAGCUGGUCUG